UACAGAGGAUGCAAGCGUUAUCCGGAAUGAUUGGGCGUAAAGCGUCUGUAGGUGGCUUUUUAAGUCCGCCGUCAAAUCCCAGGGCUCAACUCUGGACAGGCGGUGGAAACUACCAAGCUGGAGUACGGUAGGGGCAGAGGGAAUUUCCGGUGGAGCGGUGAAAUGCGUAGAUAUCUGGAGGAACACCGGUGGCGAAGGCGGCAUCCUGGACCGGCAUUGACGCUGAGGAGCGAAGCCAGGGGAGCAAACGGG
rnacentral:rRNA from 1 species